UUUAGACCAUCUAUUUUCAAGAUUUUUAUAUGUUUAUAGAUCUACUUGAUUUUAAUCAUUUUUAGAGUUUAAAAUUUUUAUAAUUAGAUAUGAAAAUAGAAUUUCAGAUAAUCUUAAUAAUUUUUUACACCAAAAUUACAUAUUAAUGUUGAUGAUAAAAUUUGGGGGUGUGCGAUAAUUGGAUUGUUUAAGGUUGCACUCUUAUAGAAACCACACCUAAUAAGUAUUCAUGAUCAAAAUACUUUCAAAUCGUUAGAUAGCAAACAUAAAAAAAAG
rnacentral:lncRNA from 1 species